GGAAUCUUCCACAAUGGACGCAAGUCUGAUGGAGCAACGCCGCGUGAGUGAAGAAGGUCUUCGGAUCGUAAAACUCUGUUGUUAGAGAAGAACACGAGUGAGAGUAACUGUUCAUUCGAUGACGGUAUCUAACCAGCAAGUCACGGCUAACUACGUGGCAG
rnacentral:rRNA from 1 species